CGGAGAGCAGAGAGGGAGCGCGCCUUGGCUCGCUGGCCUUGGCUGCGGCUCCUCGGGAGAGCUGGGGCGCCCACGAGAGGAUCCCUCACCUGGGUCUCUCCUCAGGGAUGACAUCAUCCGUCCACCUCCUUGUCUUCAAGGACCACCUCCUCUCCAUGCUGAGCUGCUGCCAAGGGGCCUGCUGCCCAUCUACACCUCACGAGGGCACUAGGAGCACGGAUUCCUGGAUCCCACCAACAUACAAAGCAGCCACUCACUGACCCCCAGGACCAGGAUGGCAAAGGAUGAAGAGGACCGGAACUGACCAGCCAGCUGUCCCUCUUACCUAAAGACUUAAACCAAUGCCCUAGUGAGGGGGCAUUGGGCAUUAAGCCCUGACCUUUGCUAUGCUCAUACUUUGACUCUAUGAGUACUUUCCUAUAAGUCUUUGCUUGUGUUCACCUGCUAGCAAACUGGAGUGUUUCCCUCCCCAAGGGGGUGUCAGUCUUUGUCGACUGACUCUGUCAUCACCCUUAUGAUGUCCUGAAUGGAAGGAUCCCUUUGGGAAAUUCUCAGGAGGGGGACCUGGGCCAAGGGCUUGGCCAGCAUCCUGCUGGCAACUCCAAGGCCCUGGGUGGGCUUCUGGAAUGAGCAUGCUACUGAAUCACCAAAGGCACGCCCCACCUCUCUGAAGAUCUUCCUAUCCUUUUCUGGGGAAUGGGGUCGAUGAGAGCAACCUCCUAGGGUUGUUGUGAGAAUUAAAUGAGAUAAAAGAGGCCUCAGGCAGGAUCUGGCAUAGAGGAGGUGAUCAGCAAAUGUUUGUUGAAAAGGUUUGACAGGUCAGUCCCUUCCCACCCCUCUUGCUUGUCUUACUUGUCUUAUUUAUUCUCCAACAGCACUCCAGGCAGCCCUUGUCCACGGGCUCUCCUUGCAUCAGCCAAGCUUCUUGAAAGGCCUGUCUACACUUGCUGUCUUCCUUCCUCACCUCCAAUUUCCUCUUCAACCCACUGCUUCCUGACUCGCUCUACUCCGUGGAAGCACGCUCACAAAGGGCUAAUCUCGGGCCUUGUUGAAGGAAGAGGCUGCAGACGUUAAUGAGGUUAGCUGCUGGAUUCCAGUAUUCGUCGCAUAAGGAUCCUUCUUUGUCUGCGAAGGAAAAACACACUGAUUAUCAUAAUGAGUUCCUGACCUGGCCCUCCCGGGGUGCCCUUGGCCAGCCCCGUGCCUCCUCAGGGUGUCCCAGCACCAGCCUGGCACAGAGUGGGGCUCAGUUAGAGUAUGUGGGAUGUUGGUUUCGCCAGGCACGUGGGCCGUGGCCCGGCUGGGUCGGCUGAAGAACUGCGGAUGGAAGCUGCGGAAGAGGCCCUGAUGGGGCCCACCAUCCCGGACCCAAGUCUUCUUCCUGGCGGGCCUCUCGUCUCCUUCCUGGUUUGGGCGGAAGCCAUCACCUGGAUGCCUACGUGGGAAGGGACCUCGAAUGUGGGACCCCAGCCCCUCUCCAGCUCGAAAUCCCUCCACAGCCACGGGGACGCCCUGCACCUAUUCCCACGGGACAGGCUGGACCCAGAGACUCUGGACCCGGGGCCUCCCCUUGAGUAGAGACCCGCCCUCUGACUGAUGGACGCCGCUGACCUGGGGUCAGACCCGUGGGCUGGACCCCUGCCCACCCCGCAGGAACCCUGAGGCCUAGGGGAGCUGUUGAGCCUUCGGUGUCUGCAUGUGGGAAGUGGGCUCCUUCACCUACCUCACAGGGCUGUUGUGAGGGGCGCUGUGAUGCGGUUCCAAAGCACA
rnacentral:lncRNA from 1 species